rnacentral:lncRNA from 1 species
CCACAGGGCUAAGUAGGGGGCUUGUUUUAUUAUGAUCUUCAUUUUAUUGCUAUUAACCU